CACGCUGGCGGCAGGCCUAACACAUGCAAGUCGAGCGGUUGCACCGGGUAUGUUGCUCCCUGGUGUUCAACGUCCGCCGGCUCAGUCAGAUCUCUUAAUGAUACCUCUGGUGAACGAUAACCACAUCCGGUUGUACCUAUUGCCGCAUAGAUCCAUCGGGAAAGAAUCGGUCCGUGUCGGAGCGUCAACUAUCUGAUGUCCGUGCAUCGCAAGGGGUGCACCCUAAGGUAAUGUGUUACCAUUGCCACCAUCCUUGGCACUGCUCCAAGGUCAAUCACCAACACUGGGACUGAGACACGGUCCAGACUCAUACGGGAGGCAGCAGUGGGGAAUAUUGGACAAUGGGCGAAAGCCUGAUCCAGCCAUGCCGCGUGUGUGAAGAACGCUUUCGGGCUUGUAAAGCACCUU
rnacentral:rRNA from 1 species